AGCGAAUCCCGCGAUCAUUUCGAAGCAAGCGGUUCUCCUGAUCGGAUGUAAAAGUGAUUAAUAGAGCUCGGAAGACAAGUGUUCAUUUAAGUGUAAUAUAAAAGUGAAAAGUAUAGAAAAAAGAUACAAAUUUAUUUCAACAUAUUGUAUUUGAUAUAUGGGACCCAUUUAAGGAAAAGGUUUUUUGCUUUUACGAAGAGCAAAUGCAAAACAAAAAGCAACUUAAACUAUUAAAGACAGUUCAGAAAACUGUAUCACUUGAUUACAAGGACUAAAUUUACACCGUAUUGCUCACAUCUGUCAUCUUAAAUAAUUCGUGGACCGUCAUUAAAGGAACCAACAAGCGAAAGAAAUUAUCACUUUUAUGACUCGCAGGAAAGUUUUGUACGCACAUGCAGGCGUACGAACGUGGCAAAACAAAAAAAUGUGUGAUUAUACAAAAUAUGUAUAAUAAUGUAUAAUAUGUAUAAUAAUGUAUAAUAUGUAUAAUAAUGAAUAAUAUGUAUAUGUAUAUAUGUAUCAUAUAAAUUCUAAGAGUUACGUUAAGUACAAAUGUAUUUAAAACAAAAGUAAUGAUGACGUGUUAGCAUGGUAAAAAUAGAGUUUAAGCAGAAUUGUUUGGAUUAUAAGUUUACGUUUAUUUUUAAUAAAACCACAUACUUAUUUGGGUCUUUAUUAAAUAUAAA